CCAGAAGGAUGUUCAAUUACAGCAUAACCAUCAUCACCAAGAUCUAACCAAUUAACCAUUUUAAACCAUUUAAACUAUUUAUACUAUUUAGGGUUCCAUUACAAAGUUAUACCAUGCAAUAGUUCAAUGAAAGUCCACUAAUUUAACCAAAAGUAUUCUCAUAAGCAUUUUAUCAAACACGUUGGUGGCAUAGUGUUUCCAAAUCCAAAACCAAGUACCAAUUAACUAUUCCCAUG
rnacentral:lncRNA from 1 species